rnacentral:rRNA from 1 species
UACGAAGGGGGGCUAGCGUUGCUCGGAAUCACUGGGCGUAAAGCGCACGUAGGCGGAUUGCUAAGUCAGGGGUGAAAUCCUGGAGCUCAACUCCAGAACUGCCCUUGAUACUGGCGGUCUCGAGUCCGGGAGAGGUGAGUGGAACUGCGAGUGUAGAGGUGAAAUUCGUAGAUAUUCGCAAGAACACCAGUGGCGAAGGCGGCUCACUGGCCCGGAACUGACGCUGAGGUGCGAAAGCGUGGGGAGCAAACAGG